GACGUAGGGGGCCAGCGUUGCUCGGAAUUACUGGGCGUAAAGGGUUCGUAGGCGGUGUGGCAAGUCGGGAGUGAAAUCUCUGGGCUUAACUCAGAGGCUGCUUCCGAAACUGCCGUGCUAGAGUGCGGGAGAGGCGAGUGGAAUUGCAGGUGUAGCGGUGAAAUGCGUAGAUAUCUGCAGGAACACCCGUGGCGAAGGCGGCUCGCUGGACCGCAACUGACGCUGAGGAACGAAAGCGUGGGGAGCGAACAGG
rnacentral:rRNA from 1 species